GCUCGCAUGGUGAAAUUGGUAAACACACCGCACUUAAAAUGCGUCGCCUUACGGCUUGCCGGUUCAAGUCCGGCUGCGAGCACCA
rnacentral:tRNA from 2 species